rnacentral:lncRNA from 14 species
CUACAAUUUUCCCCCUUUCUGUCUCUCCAGCUCUUAUAAUGUGAAUUCACAAAAGCAGGAGGUGAAGGGAAGGGAUGCAGUGAUGCACCUGGAGGUUACAGAUGAGAAGAUACACCCCAAACCCUGGAAUUCCUAUUUUUGCCACACAGGGAAGUGCCACGUGUGUCCCAGGUGUGAGGAGCAGCUCCACAGUGACCUGGCCCCUCUCUCAGAGCCCCCACACCACGGCUGUGCCGCCUGCCAGGACUGGCUGAGCUCCCAGCCCCAAAAACCCCGCAGCUACUCGGUCCCCAGCAUUGGCCGUGGGGACAGCCAGAGCCCAGCAGGCAGCAGCUCUCCUGCCAAAGCUGUGGAUGUGCUGAGGGCAGAUGGCACAGGAGAAGCUGCUCCGUGGAGGAGUGAGGCAGAGCAGCCCAUGGACCACCAAAGCGACCACAUCUGUCCCAUCUGUGAGAGCUGGCUCCGUGCCCACACUGGCCAGGGGGACAGCAGGGCUGUGACACCGGGGGAGUGGCAGCACAAGGGCCCCCAGGGCCCCGUCUGCCCCCCCUGCAUGGACAGACAGCUCCUGUCCCUUGUCCACGGGGACACAGCCAGCAGCCCCGUGUGUCCCCUGGCCGGGGAGGGGACCCUGGCCCACCUGGUCCCUCUGCACAGCCCCAGCUGCCACCUGUGCCCCGUGUGCUCGGUGCCCACCCACGCUCACCUGUGCCAGCCCCAGCGCCUGGCACCUGAUGGAUAAAUCCAGGAGCUGAGGAGGGAAGGGGAGUUCAGCACCGAUCCCUGGCAGGGGUUCAGCUCUGAGUGCAAUAAAGGGACCUGAAAUCAAAACUCUGACUUCACCUGGGCUGGCAAAGAAGCAAAAAAACCAAACAUACUUCAAACCCACCUCUGUGUUGGUUUAAUGCCCACUUCUUUGUUUAUUUUUAUAUGAACAAAGUGUUUUUGUAGCUCUUAAAGUGAGACUUUAAAAAGUCAGUAAACGUUUCUUUGCACUAGGAAAACAAUUUCCUCUUUGCACAAUCUUACAAGAUUUAUUUGUAUUUCUUAAACUACUUUCUUUAAACUGAGGUUCCUUUCCUAGUGUGCUGAUAAAAGUCC